rnacentral:ribozyme from 14 species
GGACGGCCUAUGUGACUCUUUCAGCUCUUGGGCAGAAACGAAAUCCCUUUACACCGUUGAUGAUGAUGGAGGUUGGGUUGA